GACGAACGCUGGCGGCGUGCUUAACACAUGCAAGUCGAACGAUGAGCCCGGAGCUUGCUCCGGUGGAUUAGUGGCGAACGGGUGAGUAACACGUGAGUAACCUGCCCUUGACUCUGGGAUAACUGCGGGAAACUGUAGCUAAUACCGGAUACGACCCUAGGCGGCAUCGCCAGGGGGUGGAAAGAAUUUCGGUCAAGGAUGGACUCGCGGCCUAUCAGCUAGUUGGUGAGGUAACGGCUCACCAAGGCGACGACGGGUAGCCGGCCUGAGAGGGUGACCGGCCACACUGGACUGAGACACGGCCCAGACUCCUACGGGAGGCAGCAGUGGGGAAUAUUGCACAAUGGGCGCAAGCCUGAUGCAACAACGCCGCGUGAGGGAUGACGGCCUUCGGGUUGUAAACCUCUUUUAGUAGGGAAGAAGCGAAAGUGACGGUACCUGCAGAAAAGGCACCGGCUAACUACGUGCCAGCCGCCGCGGUAA
rnacentral:rRNA from 1 species